GAUGAACGCUGGCGGCGUGCUUAACACAUGCAAGUCGAACGGGAUCCAAGGGGUGCUUGCACUUUUUGGUGAGAGUGGCGAACGGGUGAGUAACACGUGAGUAACCUGUCCUUUUCUUUGGGAUAAGCAUUCGAAAGGGUGUUUAAUACCUUAUGUUCUGUCUGCCUCGCAUGGGGUGGGUGGGAAAGGCUUUGGCCGGAUUUGGGUGGGCUCGCGGUCUUUCAGCUUGUUGGUGGGGUGAUGGCUUACCAAGGCUUUGACGGGUAGCCGGCCUGAGAGGGUGGUCGGUCACAUUGGGACUGAGAUACGGCCCAGACUCCUGCGGGAGGCAGCAGUGGGGGAUAUUGCACAAUGGGCGAAAGCCUGAUGCAGCGACGCCGCGUGGGGGAUGAAGGCCUUCGGGUUGUAAACUUCUUUUGCUCUGAACAAGGCAUGCCAGUGGGUGUGUUGAGUGUAGGGGUUGAUUAGCGCCGGCUAACUACGUG
rnacentral:rRNA from 1 species